CAAACUAUACUGGAUGAUAUUAGUAAGUAUUUUCCUACUCCUGAAGUGGGUUUGGUUCCUGAGACUAUUGAAGAUCAUGAUGAUGUAGUUCCACUAGGUAGUUCUGAUACUGAAGUUACUAGUAAUCCAUCAUCAUCUGAUUCAUCUCAAGGUUGUUGA